rnacentral:rRNA from 1 species
UACGGAGGGUGCAAGCGUUAUCCGGAUUCACUGGGUUUAAAGGGUGCGUAGGUGGGCAGGUAAGUCAGUGGCGAAAUCUCCGGGCUUAACCCGGAAACUGCCAUUGAUACUAUCUGUCUUGAAUACCGUGGAGGUGAGCGGAAUAUGUCAUGUAGCGGUGAAAUGCUUAGAUAUGACAUAGAACACCAAUUGCGAAGGCAGCUCACUACACGAAUAUUGACACUGAGGCACGAAAGCGUGGGGAUCAAACAGG